GUCUACGGCCAUACCACCCUGAACGUGCCUGAUCUCGUCUGAUCUCGGAAGCUAAGUCAGGGUCGGGCCUGGUUAGUACUUGGAUGGGAGAAAAGAAUGCAAACCUAGAGU
rnacentral:rRNA from 1 species